UGGGGAAUCUUGGACAAUGGGCGCAAGCCUGAUCCAGCCAUGCCGCGUGAGUGACGAAGGCCUUAGGGUUGUAAAGCUCUUUUGGCGGGGACGAUAAUGACGGUACCCGCAGAAUAAGCCCCGGCUAACUUCGUGCCAGCAGCCGCGGUAAUACGAAGGGAGCUAGCGUUGUUCGGAAUCACUGGGCGUAAAGCGCACGUAGGUGGGCAGUUAAGUCAGGGGUGAAAGCCCGAGGCUCAACCUCGGAAUUGCCUCUGAUACUGGCUGUCUAGAGUUCGAGAGAGGUGAGUGGAAUUCCUAGUGUAGAGGUGAAAUUCGUAGAUAUUAGGAAGAACACCGGUGGCGAAGGCGGCUCACUGGCUCGAUACUGACACUGAGGUGCGAAAGCGUGGGGAGCAAACAGGAUUAGAUACCCCCGUAGUCCCUGAGCGGGCUGGCAAGGCGCAU
rnacentral:rRNA from 1 species